AGCUAACAUAGCUCUUUUAGAAUUGUUUUCUAACCGGUUUUCUGAUUUUUGUUGGAAAACCGAC